UACGCAGGGGGCAAGCGUUGUUCGGAUUUACUGGGCGUAAAGCGCACGUAGGCGGCCUGUUAAGUUAGGGGUGAAAUCGCAGCGCUCAACGGCGUGCUCGCCAUUGAUACUGACGGGCUUGAGGGCGGUCGAGGGGGCUGGAAGGCGUAGUGUAGAGGUGAAAUGCAUAGAUAUUACGCAGAACGCCGAUGGCGAAGGCGGGCUCCUGGGGCGCUACUGACGCUGAGGCGCGAAAGUGUGGGGAGCGAACAGG
rnacentral:rRNA from 1 species